CUGGAGACUAGAUCUUUUUCAUUAUUAAAGUUCUGUGUUUCUGGCUUUUUCCCCCAUCUUUCUAAUAUGCUGUUGUUAUGGCAACAGUGUUUCUAUCAAGAGAUUCAUAUGAACUACGAAACCCUUCUUGCACUUUUACCUGUUUUGGCAAUCUCAAGGUAGUUAAAUGCGUAUGUUCCUGAGUUUGACGAAAUUCCCUCUGGUUUUUAAAAACACAAUUUUGAGCAGAACUUUACCUACUCAAAGAGGGCUUUGACAAAAUCAUAAUUUUUACUGUUAAGUACUGUUCUUUUUGACAUAACUUAUAACAAAAUGGAAUUUAAUCUUUCCUCUUUUAUAUCCUAGGGUUGGAUAAAGAGGCCUCCACAGCAGCCUCCUUGCAACUUUUGAUUGCCAUGGAUAAGUGGAACUGGUAUCGAGUUCACAUGUAACUUACUGCCAAGGGCUGUAUUUCCAUUUCCUUCUGCACACUGAAUUUGUGCUCCUGCAUUCCUCUAACAAGAGCCUCUGAAGGAAGGAGAUGCUUCAUGUCACAAGACGUGCAGCCACACACACAGCUGUCUGUUGGGAGUGUGAAACCCGAACGCCUGAAAGAAGAAGAAGCACAUUUCACAAGAACUGAGCGACUUGGCAUGCCUGAAGCAUAUGGAUGGGGUCCAUGCAUGGUGGCUAAAGGAUGAAUGAAAGAUGCUUGAGUCACCCUUCCUUGGGCUUGGCAUGGGCAACUAGGCAAAGCUGGCUUCCUGAGUUACACCAGCAACGGUGACUUUUCUUCUAGAGAAUGUCUGAGCCAGAGGCAUGGGAGCAAGAGCAAUGGAGUCAGCAGUAUCUCAGCACUGAUUUAAGCCUAAACGUUUUGUCCUGUAUUCACCGUGGGCAUGAAGAGCACAGAAGACUGCAAGAACUGCUGUUGUGGUCCAGAGCAAAGGUUUGUUUAACACAGCAGUCUGACUCCAACAACAGUCACAGCAGGGUGCCUGAGAAGGAGUAAGAAAAGGACAAGCGUACAUGAUACUGUCAUCAUACAAAAGCACGGCCAGAUCCAUUUUGGCUCACAGGAUUUUCCAAGACAGUGGUGGUUUCUUUAUUUAGUAAAUUGCAGUGGACUGUUCUUCCAAGUUCUCAGUUUGAUUCUUUCUCUUAUUGUGACUGAUUUCCGGAUAUUUGAAUGCUUUUACAUCUCACGUCCUUCUUCAGAUGCCUCUUGUGCAGACUCAACAUAGUUUCUUCUUCUCUAAUAGGUCAUAUCUUCUAGACUUCUUAUCAUUUUCUAAUAGACCCAUGCUUUUUUUAAUGACACUGGCCAUAUUACAGCAGCCCAGCCUUCAUCCAUGCUGAAUAUAUACCUUCUUUAUGUUCCACUUGCUUCUUGCUGCUCUCGUUAUUAACAUGCUGUGUUUUCUGGGAAGCGUGGUCUGUUACGGAAAGCCUAAUUGGAAUUUUUGGCUGUGAUCUAAACAGAAUAUGUGAUUUGCUUUUGAAGAAGCUUCUGUUCUAAUUAAACUAAAUGGACACAAAGGCAUUCACUCCUCAGAUGACUAGGUUUGAAAUCUGUAACCAUGGAGAAUAUUUAUACAUCUCCCUCUGUAUCUGAGACCCAUUCUCAGAAAUGUUAUUGUUAGCAAGCCUGAUAAAGCUGGCACUAGCCUUAACUUAUGCUUUAAGUGAUCUUUCCUUUUGGACUAGGCAGAAAGUUGGCAGCUUGCCCCUGCAAGUUUGAAAUCGAUACCGU
rnacentral:lncRNA from 1 species